GAUGAACGCUAGCGGCAGGCUUAACACAUGCAAGUCGAGGGGUAUAGGUUUUCGGACCUAGAGACCGGCGCACGGGUGCGUAACGCGUAUGCAAUCUACCUUUCACAGAGGGAUAGCCCAGAGAAAUUUGGAUUAAUACCUCAUAGUAUUAUGAAGUGGCAUCAUUUUAUAAUUAAAGUUCCAACGGUGAAAGAUGAGCAUGCGUCCCAUUAGCUAGAUGGUAAGGUAACGGCUUACCAUGGCUACGAUGGGUAGGGGUCCUGAGAGGGAGAUCCCCCACACUGGUACUGAGACACGGACCAGACUCCUACGGGAGGCAGCAGUGAGGAAUAUUGGUCAAUGGACGCAAGUCUGAACCAGCCAUGCCGCGUGCAGGAUGACGGUCCUAUGGAUUGUAAACUGCUUUUGUACGAGAAGAAACACUCCUUCGUGAAGGAGCUUGACGGUAUCGUAAGAAUAAGGAUCGGCUAACUCCGUGCCAGCCGCCGCGGUAAAAC
rnacentral:rRNA from 1 species